rnacentral:rRNA from 1 species
CCAUCGGAUGUGCCCAGAUGGGAUUAGCUAGUAGGUGGGGUAAAGGCUCACCUAGGCGACGAUCCCUAGCUGGUCUGAGAGGAUGACCAGCCACACUGGAACUGAGACACGGUCCAGACUCCUACGGGAGGCAGCAGUGGGGAAUAUUGCACAAUGGGCGCAAGCCUGAUGCAGCCAUGCCGCGUGUAUGAAGAAGGCCUUCGGGUUGUAAAGUACUUUCAGCGGGGAGGAAGGGAGUAAAGUUAAUACCUUUGCUCAUUGACGUUACCCGCAGAAGAAGCACCGGCUAACUCCGUGCCAGCAGCCGCGGUAAUACGGAGGGUGCAAGCGUUAAUCGGAAUUACUGGGCGUAAAGCGCACGCAGGCGGUUUGUUAAGUCAGAUGUGAAAUCCCCGGGCUCAACCUGGGAACUGCAUCUGAUACUGGCAAGCUUGAGUCUCGUAGAGGGGGGUAGAAUUCCAGGUGUAGCGGUGAAAUGCGUAGAGAUCUGGAGGAAUA